UGCAGGAGCAGAAAGCGGCGCUGGAAACAUCCCGGGCGGACGCUCACUCGUCCCAGGUAAAUUCCCGGGUUGAAUCUAACGCUCCCAGCACCUCAACUCCGCGUGUUUCUCUGCCCAGGCCCAGCACACCUACAACGCAGCCCGCCCAGGUAUCGUUCACUCCGGCACCGGUGCACCACGGACCCUGGAUGCUGCAGCAGCGGAAGACACGAGCCAAGCCCCGGUUGAGGACAUCUCCCCCGCUUUGCCACUCUCUGCGAGACGGAACGUCAUACUGUGAUUCUUGGAGAUUCCAUCGUCCGGCAUGUCCGCGCUACCGGAGACAAAGGAAUGAUAAAUGGGCCGAUUCGAGAUCUGAUACGGAUGCCAGGUGAAGAGGAGGUGGAGAAACAAACAGCAAUGAUCAAUAGACUGGAAAGCUUACCGAACAAAAGUCCAGCAGGGGGCGCUCGCCUCUAACCCGGUAUUGGGUGACCUACGUUCCUGUGGUGGUGAACAUGACUGCGAGUUCUCCAGAAGAACAAAUGCUGGAAUCCACCUGCCACGCCCCCUUCGGCCCCCUUCAGCGUGUCAGGUGCUUUCUCGGCCGCUUGUAUGCAGAAGCCAGAGGGGCUUCCAUCCAUACCUGAUGUGGUGCUACACAAGUGUAACCAAAAUAAGUUGCCACCGGACCCACAGAGUCUCGGCUCCAGAGACUCAAAUAUCUCAAAUAUUCCAGCAGGAACUGGAAGCAGCUGUUUCAGCCAGUAAUCGUGAGAGGCUUCUGGAUGAGCUGGAGUAGGCAAAUAACAAAGCUCACAGAAAAACCAGGGGUAACGUCAAGUUCAUCGGGGAGCUGUUUAAGUUGCGGAUGUUGACCGAGUCCAUCAUUCAUAACUGCGUGGUAAAACUGCUGAAACAAAAUGACGAGGAAAGUCUCGAGCGCCUCUCUGUUCUCCUCACGACUGCCGGCUAAGAGAUGGACUUUAAGAAG